AAAGUCGUAACAAGGUCUCCGUUGGUGAACCAGCGGAGGGAUCAUUACAAGAAGCCGAAAGGCUACUUCAAACCAUCGCGAACUCGUCCAAGUUGCUUCGGCGGUGCGGGCUACCCCCCCCCCCGGGGGUCCCGCGGCGCCGCGCCUCCCCGGAGGUGCGGGGCGCCCGCCGGAGGUCAGAAACUCUUAUGUAUUAUAGUGGCAUCUCUGAGUAAAACACAAAUAAGUUAAAACUUUCAACAACGGAUCUCUUGGUUCUG
rnacentral:misc_RNA from 1 species